rnacentral:rRNA from 1 species
GCAACAGCUCAGAUUUGGAAUCUGGUCCUUUGGGGCCCGAGUUGUAAUCUGGAGAGGAUGCUUCUGGCGCGGCGCCGUCCGAGUUCCCUGGAACGGGACGCCGGAGAGGGUGAGAGCCCCGUACGGUCGGACGCCUAGCCUGUGUGAAGCUCCUUCGACGAGUCGAGUAGUUUGGGAAUGCUGCUCAAAAUGGGAGGUAAAUUUCUUCUAAAGCUAAAUACCGGCCAGAGACCGAUAGCGCACAA